GACGAACGCUGGCGGCGUGCUUAACACAUGCAAGUCGAACGGAAAGGCCCUGCUUUUGUGGGGUGCUCGAUUGGCGAACGGGUGAGUAACACGUGAGUAACCUGCCCUUGACUUUGGGAUAACUUCAGGGAACUGGGGCUAAUACCGGAUAGGAGCUCCUGCUGCACGGUGGGGGUUGGAAAGUUUCGGCGGUUGGGGAUGGACUGGCAGCUUAUCGGCUUGUUGGUGGGGUAGUGGCUUACCAAGGCUUUGACGGGUAGCCGGCCUGAGAGGGUGGCCGGCGUCCAUGCGCCUGCGGUAGGCCGCAGUCUCCUAUGGGAGGCAACGGUCGAGAGUAUUGCGGAACAGGGGGGAGUCUGAGGCGGCAGCGCUCCGUGCGUGAUGAUGGCUUUCGGGUUAUAAACCGCUUUGGCCUUUACCGAAGCGGGAGUGACGGUAACGGGUAAGGAAGCACCGGCUAACUACGUG
rnacentral:rRNA from 1 species